rnacentral:snRNA from 1 species
AUGCUUGCUUCAGCAGCACAUAUACUAAAAUCAGAAUGAUACAGAGAAAAUUAGCAUGGCCCCUGCACAAAUUGGUGAAGUGUUCCAUAUUUUU